UCAAUGAUCAUUUGAGUAUGUAAAUAAUAUCUAUGUCUUUGUUCAUGUAAUUUUUAUUUUGAUCUUAUAAGCAUGUUGUUCUUUCAAUAUGAGAUAAUUGUGACAUGACUUUUUGAUUUAUUGGGUUCUCUACACAAGUUUCUAAAUUUCUUUAACUCUUUCAGAAAUUCAGAAAAGAAGACAAGCAACUUUAGGGAACUGAGGCAUUUAUAAAGGGAUCUCAUAUUUUCAUCUCAGCUAGGUUUGGUUCAUUUGGCUAUUUUUUCACUUUCAAGUGGCUUCAUUGGAUUUCAAAUUGGAGGGAACUUUAUUUGCAGCAGUUUGCAAGAGAAACGGUUGAUCAGAAACUAGUCAAAGAGUUUGCCAAGUACAAGAUAUGUCACCUCCAUCUACAAAAGGAAAGAGGCCAAAACACAUACCUACAGGAAAAUUAGUUAAACUCCUCAAUGAAAAGAGGAAGAGCUUUAGACUAAAUUUGGAAAUGGAUAAGGUUGUUGAAGAGAGAUAUACUAAGGAUGUGUCUCCAAAGAAAAAGACACGUAGAAUGAUUGUAAGAAAUGACUCUUCUGAUGAAGA